CGACUGAGAAGGAGAACGGCUCAUGGGGAAACUUUUCAUAAGUUUAAAUCUAUUAGUCUUCUUUGACUUUUCUUGCUGAGCUGACAAAUAAUUUCCCCCAGUUCGGAGCCCUCUGUAUCCCAGGAGGUAAACCGAAACAUGAAAGGAAUGUCUUUCCCACAGAGUCAUGUGAAUUGGCCUAACGGGAACCUGUCCAGACCUGGUGGGUGUGAGGCUAUCAAUACGUACGCCUUUCAGGGCUCGAGAGAAACCAGAGAGGACCGCCGCAGGACAAGGGCAGAGUGACCUCAGGCUUCUGGUCUUGGAGAUUAGCCCAGAGAGGAGACAUCUCCCUUCGUUUGCCCUUUUUCCCUCCUCCGUGAAAACUUGUGAAGACCGAAUGUGGAAUAACACUUAUUAGCCAUAUGGACACAAAGCAUCUCAUCCCAUGUAGAAAACGGAAUUAGAGCUGCGUGCUGAAAGAUGAAUUAACUGGAAUAGAACUGGAGUACAGGAUGUAAAUCCAUAAUUCUAUUAAAAGCUGAGGCACUGUCUCUCCCCUCCAUCCUUAA